UGUCAAGCUUCCAAGAAAAGCCCUAUACCCGUUAAGGCAUGACGGCCUGUACCCGAAACCGACACAGGUGGGGUGGUAGAGAAUACCGAGGGGCGCGAGAUAACUCUCUCUAAGGAACUCGGCAAAAUGGCCCCGUAACUUCGGGAGAAGGGGUGCCACCGCAAGGUGGUCGCAGUGAAGAGGCCCAGGCGACUGUUUACCAAAAACACAGGUCUCCGCUAAGUCGCAAGACGAUGUAUGGGGGCUGACGCCUGCCCAGUGCCGGAAGGUUAAGGAAGCUGGUCAGCGCAAGCGAAGCUGGCGACUGAAGCCCCGGUGAACAGCGGCCGUAACUAUAACGGUCCUAAGGUAGCGAAAUUCCUUGUCGGGUAAGUUCCGACCCGCACGAAAGGCGUAACGAUCUGGGCGCUGUCUCGGAGAGAGGCUCGGCGAAAUAGAAUUGUCUGUGAAGAUGCGGACUACGUGCACCCGGACAGAAAGACCCUAUGAAGCUUUACUGUAGCUUGGUAUUGUGCCCGGGCUCUGAAUGCGCAGGAUAGGUGGGAGGCUUUGAUCCAUUGCUUGCGGGUGAUGGUGAGCCAACGGUGAGAUACCACUCUUUCAGAGCUAGGGUUCUAACGGUCACCCGUUAUCCGGGGACCGGACAGUAUCAGGUGGGCAGUUUGACUGGGGCGGUCGCCUCCUAAAAGGUAACGGAGGCGCGCAAAGGUUCCCUCAGGCUGGUUGGAAAUCAGCCGACGAGUGUAAAGGCAGAAGGGAGCUUGACUGUGAGACCUACAAGUCGAGCAGGGACGAAAGUCGGCCUUAGUGAUCCGACGGUUCUGAGUGGAAGGGCCGUCGCUCAACGGAUAAAAGUUACUCUAGGAUAACAGGCUGAUCUCCCCCAAGAGUUCACAUCGACGGGGAGGUUUGGCACCUCGAUGUCGGCUCAUCGCAACCUGGGGCUGAAGUCGGUCCCAAGGGUUGGGCUGUUCGCCCAUUAAAGCGGUACGCGAGCUGGGUUCAGAACGUCGUGAGACGGUUCGGUCCAUAUCCGGUGCAUGCGCAGGAACAUUGAGAGGAUUUCUCCCUAGUACGAGAGGACCGGGAGGAACGCACCUCUGGUGUACCAGUUAUCGUGCCAACGGUAAACGCUGGGUAGCCAUGUGCGGAGCGGAUAACCGCUGAAAGCAUCUAAGUGGGAAGCCCACCUCAAGAUGAGUGUUCCCAUGGCAUAAGCCAGUAAGGUCACGGGAAGAACACCCGUUGAUAGGCUCUACGUGGAAGCGUGGCAACACGUGAAGCGGAGGAGUACUAAUAGACCGAGGGCUUGAC
rnacentral:rRNA from 1 species